rnacentral:rRNA from 1 species
GGCAACAGCUCAAAUUUGAAAUCUGGCUCUCGGGCCCGAGUUGUAAUUUGUAGAGGAUGCUUUUGGUGAGGUGCCUUCCGAGUUCCCUGGAACGGGACGCCAUAGAGGGUGAGAGCCCCGUCUGGUUGGACGCCGAACCUCUGUAAAGCUCCUUCGACGAGUCGAGUAGUUUGGGAAUGCUGCUCUAAAUGGGAGGUAUAUGUCUUCUAAAGCUAAAUACCGGCCAGAGACCGAUAGCGCACAAGUAGAGUGAUCGAAAGAUGAAAAGAACUUUGAAAAGAGAGUUAAACAGUACGUGAAAUUGUUGAAAGGGAAGCGCUUGUGACCAGACUUGGGCUUGGUUGAUCAUCCGGGGUUCUCCCCGGUGCACUCUUCCGGCUCAGGCCAGCAUCAGUUCGCCCUGGGGGAUAAAGGCAUCGGGAACGUGGCUCUCUCCGGGGAGUGUUAUAGCCCGUUGCGUAAUACCCUGCGGCGGACUGAGGUUCGCGCAUUCGCAAGGAUGCUGGCGUAAUGGUCAUCAGUGACCCGUCUUGAAACACGGACCAAGGAGUCGUCUUCGUAUGCGAGUGUUCGGGUGUCAAACCCCUACGCGAAAUGAAAGUGAACGCANGUGAGAGCUUCGGCGCAUCAUCGACCGAUCCUGAUGUUAUCGGAUGGAUUUGAGUAAGAGCAUACGGGGCCGGACCC